rnacentral:misc_RNA from 1 species
GUAGGUGAACCUGCGGAAGGAUCAUUAAUGAAAUACAAGUCGGUCGGUUGUGCUGGCGCACAAGCGCAUGUGCACAUCGGUCGCAAAUCCACACACCUGUGCACCUUUGACUCCGAGUGACCUGUUGUUGCUGCCUCUGGCGGUACCAGGACCUCGGGGUAUUUUACACACACUGUAUGUAAAAGGAUGUCAUCGUGCUUAGCACAAUAAAUACAACUUUCAACAACGGAUCUCUUGGCUCUC